rnacentral:lncRNA from 1 species
GACUCUUUUUGACUAUGUGAACUAAAACAUGAUAAGAAGCUGUCAUUUUAACCCCCACAGUGACAGUUUCCCCACAACUGAAUUCUAAUCUUAAGUGAUGCACUCCCCAGAAUGUUCUGGACAAGGCCUGGUGCCAUCCCUGCUGCAGUCCCUGGAGGGAGAGCAGGGGGUCUCCUCGGGGCCACCGUGGAGUCUCUGGGGCAAGAGGGAGGCUGCCGGGGGGAGGAUGACAGGUCUGCUCACUUGUGGACUGGACACAAUUCCUUCUAGGCUGCCGGGGGAGGAUGACAGGUCUGCUCACUUGUGGACUGGACACAAUUCCUUCUAGGCUGCCGGGGGGAGGAUGACAGGUCUGCUCACUUGUGGACUGGACACAAUUCCUUCUAGGCUGCCGGGGGGAGGAUGACAGGUCUGCUCACUUGUGGACUGGACACAAUUCCUUCUAGGCUGCCCUCUGGAUGUGAAUUCCAGAUGCACAGGUAAUGUAGCAGCAGAAAUUCCUCUGAGAUUAUGUCUGUGUAUAGUUGUGUUGGUUUGAAAAGUGUUUUGGUCAUUUGAGUCUUCAUACUUAGUAAACAAACAAAAAUAAACUGGAAAAAAAUUC